GGGGAACUGAGUCAACUUUAACGAGUGGGCUGUGAACCCCAUCAUUCUCAUUACUAUGUAAAGAGACGGUGGGGAAUGUAGGCAGGCUUUGGUGGGGGUUGAUGCAAUCCAGAGUGGUCCAGCCAUGGUCGUAGAGCCAGCAAUUGCAGUUUUGAAUCAGUUGAUCCAAUUUUGGUGGCCUGAGAAUUGGAGCAAAGGUGCUGUCCUGGGCCUGAAGGUGUGGGUGUCAGCGACAGAGUCCAGUGUCUUGGAGGAGAACUGGGAGGAUCAGGCAGAAGGGUACCCUGGCAUCUUAGCUUUGGAAUCAGAAAGAAUUCAUUCGGAAUCCUGACUGUGCCAUUGACUUGGUGAAAUCAAGUCCCCACCUGUAGAAUGGAGAUAAAAGUGGAAUCUUUAACCUCAUAGGCUUAUUGCAAGAAAUAAUCGACAUGAUGCCUGCUAAACUCUUACCGUGGUUCCUGGUGCCUAGAAAGUGCUCAAAACAUGUUAAUUAUUGUUAGUAAAAACUGAGAAGGCUGUCAUCUGCUGGGCAUGCAGGUGGGUGCUCUUGGCUUAUCUCAGGACCACUUCAGUUAACUCUCCAUCUGCACGGUGGCUUCCAGGAGCCACUGCUGAUGAUCUGAGCUCAUUUGUCCAAACUGCACUGCCGUCUCCAGUGCCCAUUCUGAGGCUGCAGGCUUCCUAUAAAACGGCUACAACCACUAUCUCAUCUCCAUGGACAGUCCUCCCAAAGGCCCCCCGUUUCUCUUUGAUACUCCACCCCCCAGAUCAGAUCCCUUCCUUCUGCCUAGACUCUUUGGAGACCCAAUUUGUUUCCCUGCCUCCCACAGUUCUGCUUCUUUUAGGUAGCCCAUUGGCUAAGGGUGCCCACCAAGUGCCCAGUUCCUGUUCUUGAAAGUCUAACCCAGGCAAUCCAAGAGAAGUGGUCAGGUCCCCCUCUCUGCGAGAUCCUGGGUAGGGUUUGGUUUAUAGAAACUAGUGAAAUCUUUUCCAGUUCCUGCAACCCAGGAGGAUGGAGGAGCAGGAACCAACAGCUUUUGCUCUUUAAAAAAAAAUUUUUUUUUUCUGUAUUUAUUUGUGCAUCUUAGCUGUGGCACAUGGGAUCUUCGAUGUUCACUGUGGUAUGUGGGCUCUUUAGUUGCAGUGUGUGGGAUCUAGUUUCCUGGGCAGGGGUUGGACCUGGGGCCCCUGCUCUGGGAGCAUGGAUUCUUAGCCACUGGAUCACUAGGGAAGUCCCAGCCUUUGCUGUUGGCUGCUGAGGUUCUUGGUCUUUUGGAUUCUGUCACCUACGUUGGGGACUGAGGUUAAAGUAUAUAAACAUCGAUUGCAGUAAAGGCCAGAGGGGUGGGUGUCUUGUCUUCAUCUCCUCAUGAGGUAUUUUUUCCAGGCUUAAGCAUUUGACUCGCUGAAGCAGAAAAGGGAACGUGCUGGCUGAAAUAACCAGACCGCGGAGCAGCUCUCUCUUGUCCGUGUUCUUUCCAUCUCUCACUUCUGUGUCUUAGUUUCUUUCCUCCUACUGUGGAUGGGGUUUUUGUGUAUGAUGGGGAUCUUGGCAGGUGUGUCUUGGCCAUUUGUUCUGAUGGUUUGUCACCAAGAAGAAAAUUGGCUUCUUCUUUCCAGUUUCAGUAUGAAAACUCCCAGGAAGGGGUUAUGAUAGACUCUCCUGGGCUGCUUGUCCACCUGCAGGCCGGGGGUUUGAGAUACUAUGGCUGGCCCAACUUGAGUCCAGGGGCAGGGGUGGACGCGCCUGUUACUAGAAGGCUGAUGGUGGUGGUGGGGGAGCAUAGGCAGGACCACCAGAGGAAAUCACUUGUGAAAUCAGUGUGUGACUUGAGUCUACUUCAGUGCGUGGUUCUGGCAAAGCUAUCCCCACUGCACUGUUUUCUUAGCCAUUCCAAUUCCCCUUUGGAAUAAGGUAGGGCACCCAUACAUUUAUCCCCCAAAAUAGAUGAUUUAGUUAUAGCAGAAAAGAGUGUGAAGUGAAAAACAAAGAAACCCAACAAAGAGUUACCAGUAACCAGGAAAUGACAAAUAAAUCAGGUUUGCCUUAUUGUUCUUGAUUAUUUUUAGCUUAGAAGGCGUGGGUGAAUAUGAGGUUCGGGUGAGUUCUUAGGCUCUCAGCCCAGAGACAGUUUGAAAAAUGGAAACCCAGUACUUCAAAUCGCCACGGGAGUAUCUUUACAAACCUUGACUAUACAGAGAAUAUGGGCUUCGUGUCCAUAUAAGGGUGAUUCCAAGGCUUGGACAGCCUGCAGAACACCCAAGGCAGCUUCUAUGGGAAGCCUCGAGUUACAAAUACAGCCCCAAAAUGACAUCUGAAGUCCCCAAGUAGAAAUAUUUUGGAAAUAUGUUUAUUUUCUUGUAUGUACAGUUCUACAUUGUCCUAGAGGGUGGCCCACGUGGCUUUUAGCUGCAUAAUAUACAAGGUGGGUAGUGUUUGCAGAGGGAUGAGGUAACUGAACUACAGAGGCAUUGCCACAUUUUUAAUUAACUAUUGAUUUGUAGGAUUUGUGUAUUGAGGUUAAUCAGGUACAACAAGAACAGAUAACUUUACUUGGCUUCCUUUAAGCUCAAGUAUAUAAAUCUGAUGUGGAGUGACUGUUUAUUAGAAAUGGAACUCUUUUUUUUUUUUUUUUUUCGUCUAGAGGUAAUCAAUGCUGCUUCGAAGCUGAAAAUAACAAACACAAUUCAACCCUCUCCUAUUUGUGAGAAUCUGUGUUUUACUUUCUUCUUGGGUUUUGGAGCAAAGGGGACAUAUUUCUUUCUUGGGUUUGGAAAAGCCUCACUCCAUAUGGUGGGCAACAGCCCUUCCUAUGGAAGGGACAAAUGCAGUAUUUUCCCAACGAGGAGUCACCUUGUGUUCCCGGAGAUCGCUGGAGCUGGAGCUCAAAGAUCUGUCAGGAAAGAAAUACUGCUGAGCUUCCUACUAACUCAGGAGUAUCUUUGGGUUAACUUUGAAGUUCUAGUGAUAAGGCUGAGAAAAAAUACACCAAGUGAGAUUUCAAACUUGCUGAAAGAUUACUGUCUCUUGAUGCCAGAUGUAUAGAACCAUGAUUGCAUUUGUCAUGAGUGUGAGCUCCAAGAGGAGUUUUAAAAACCACAUGGUUCUUUGUCUGGCAGCCUCCCAAGAGAUCCUGGAGCUCACAUCUUUCUUUACUGAAUCAAUACCGAUGAGCAAACAAGGGGCUCACCCAGUUGUCUGUCCUUUUGGACUUUGGGAACAGCUGUGGUUUGGGGGUCCUGGAGCAUAACUUGAUGCUUAUCUUAGAGCCCUUCAUGGUCUCCUAGCUUCUUCAGAUCAUGCUUUUUGGCCUCUGGGUAUGAAAGAUAGGCCAACACCUCUACCCUGGCUGGAAUUCCUCUGGUCCAAAGUAGUCAUGUGACUCAAGCUCGUCCAACUAGAAGGCUAUUGAUGGGUUCAGGAAUGGCAUGUUAUAAGAAAGGGGCCCAUCAUGGUUUCCCACAAAUCUUUUCUUAUAGAUUUGGGGAAAGACACUUCUUCAUAAAUUGGCAUUGGGAGCUGUAUCUGGGAUGUAGGCUAGAGGCUGUGAACUGCCAUCUUGUGUCCACCUGGAUCAAGUUUGUCUGAUAGUAAAGCAGAGCUGAGGUGAGGGAUAAGAAGAGAGAGCGAUACAGAGAGCCCCGAUGACACUAUUUGAACCUGGAUCCAGCUGAGCAUGAAGCUAGGAUCAUUCCCUCAAGCUUCCUGGGUACAUAAGUCAACAGCAUUUUAGUUAUUUAAUUUUUUUAUUGACCAGGAAGGGAACCAGCCUCAGGAGGAAGUGCAGAUUGAGGUUGGUAGAGGCAAAAGGAGAAGAGGGCGGCGGAGGAUGAGAUGGUUAGAUAGCAUCACCGACUCAGUGAACGUGAAUGUGAGCAAACGCUGGGAGAUGGUGAAGGUCGGGGAAGCCUGGCGUGCUGCAGUCCACGGGGUUGCAAAGAGUCAGAAACUCUGGGAGAUGGUGAAGGUCGGGGAGGCCUGGCGUGCUGCAGCCCACGGGGUUGCAAAGAGUCAGAAACGCUGGGAGAUGGUGAAGGUCGGGGAGGCCUGGCGUGCUGCAGCCCACGGGGUUGCAAAGAGUCAGAAACGCUGGGAGAUGGUGAAGGUCGGGGAGGCCUGGCGUGCUGCAGCCCACGGGGUUGCAAAGAGUCAGAAACGCUGGGAGAUGGUGAAGGUUGGGGAGGCCUGGCGUGCUGCAGCCCACGGGGUUGCAAAGAGCCAGACACAACUUAGUGAGUGAACAACAACAAAUGACAACAGAGGAGAGAAACGGAAAGAGCCAAGAUCCUGAUGGAAUUAUCCAGGUGCAUAAAGCACCUGGACCCUGCCGUCCCUCUGGCCUGCCACUUGUAUGAGAAAACACAUUUCUUUACUGGGCGAACCAGCUCAAGUCCAGAUUUUUUUGUUACUUGACUCCAAAAGCAACCUAACUAACACAAGCUUCAGGGAGACUGGAUGAGUCUACCUCACCAGUCACUGAGUGAACCCGAGUGGGUUAGGGGACAGGGCCUGAAACUUUUGAGGGUGACGUCAUGAGGGGAAGCUACAUAUGCUUCAAGCUACCCCAAGCCAGGCCCCAUAGCCGGGUGUAAAUUCCUGUCAUGUGGAAAAUAUACUCAGAGCAGCAGAGUGUCAGUUUGGGACCUGUGAGUGUUGUCAUGGAGCCGCCAUCUCCUCCAUCUGAUCUAUUGACUAAAUUUGAAAGUAACUUAUAAUUGUCAUGGAUCUGCUGACUUUAGGAUGAGAUGUUUUCUUGAAGAAAAUCAAAACCAAAGGUUUCAACCAACUACUUUAGGUUGAAGACGGUGGGUAGGAUAGAGAUACCUGGGGGGAGGGAUGAGCUGGUGGAUUCUUACAGCUGGGCUCUGUGCCAACCCUGGUCCUACUCCUCUCCCUCAGGUUUUUUCCCUACAUGGAUUUUCUAUGUGGUUUAUGAGAAUAGCAUAAUCACAUUUUUUUUCUGGGUGGUAAAAUAGAUGUAACAUAAAAUUUACCAUUUUAAUCAUUCUUAAGUGUACAGUGGAGUGGCGUUAAUUACAUUCACAUUGUUAAGCCACCACCACCAUCCAUCUCCAGAACUUUUUCAUCUUCCCAAAUUCCUUAUGCAUUAAACACUCAUUCCCACUCUCCCCUCCCUCCAUCACAGUUCUACUUUCUGACUCUAGGAAUUCGACUGCUCUUAGAACCUCGUAUAAGCGUGUUCAUGCGACAUUUGUCCUCUUGUGUCCGGAUUAUGUCACUGCAUAAUGUCCUCAAGCUUCAUCCAUGUUGUAGCAUGUGUUAAUUCUAUUUUCUUUUCAAGACUGAGUAAUAUUUCAUAUGUUCAUAUACUACAUUUUGCUUGUUUUUUUUUUUUAUUUUUACCUUUUUAUUUUAUUGACUUCUGUAUUGGAGAAUGGUAGUUUUUAGAAAAGUGUUAUCCCAAAUGCUGAGGUCAGAAAGAGAGAGAAAUAGCAAGACAUUGGAACUAGCAGAGGAAGAAAAGAGCCGGUUCAUACCCCCAGACUCUGCUCAAUGGGCUUCCCAGGCGGCGCUGUGCUCAGUCGUGUCUGACUCUUGGCGAUCCCAUGGACUAUAGCCCGCCAGGCUCCUCUGUUCAUGGGAUUCUCCAAGCAAGAAUACUGGACAAGAUUGCCAUGCCCU
ensembl:lncRNA